rnacentral:rRNA from 1 species
UACGUAGGGGGCAAGCGUUGUCCGGAUUUAUUGGGCGUAAAGAGCGUGUAGGCGGCCUGACAGGUCUGCUGUGAAAACUCGAGGCUUAACCUCGAGAUGUCAUCGGAAACCAUCUGGCUAGAGUCCGGAAGAGGAGAGUGGAAUUCCUGGUGUAGCGGUGAAAUGCGCAGAUAUCAGGAAGAACACCAAUGGCGAAAGCAGCUCUCUGGGACGGUACUGACGCUGAGACGCGAAAGCGUGGGGAGCGAACAGG